CCUACGGGGGGCAGCAGUAAGGAAUAUUGGUCAAUGGACGAAAGUCUGAACCAGCCAUGCCGCGUGGAGGAUGAAGGUCCUCUGGAUUGUAAACUUCUUUUAUAUGGGACGAAAAAAGGCCUUUCCAGGUCGUCUGACGGUACCAUAUGAAUAAGCACCGGCUAACUCCGUGCCAGCAGCCGCGGUAAUACGGAGGGUGCAAGAGUCAUCGGGAUUAACUGGGUUUAAAGUGGGUUGGGGAGUGUUGGUAGAAAUCCCCGAGCUUAACUUGGGAACUGCCAUUGAUACUAUCAGUCUUGAAUACCGUGGAGGUCAGCGGAAUAUGUCAUGUAGCGGUGAAAUGCUUAGAUAUGACAUAGAACACCAAUUGCGAAGGCAGCUGGCUACACGAGUAUUGACACUGAGGCACGAAAGCGUGGGGAUCAAACAGGAUUAGAUACCCUGGUAGUC
rnacentral:rRNA from 1 species